UACGGGGGGAGCAAGCGUUGUUCGGAUUUACUGGGCGUAAAGGGCGCGUAGGCGGCCACCGCAGGUCGACUGUGAAAUCUCCGGGCUUAACUCGGAAAGGUCAGCCGAUACUGCGGGGCUAGAGUGCAGAAGGGGCAACUGGAAUUCUCGGUGUAGCGGUGAAAUGCGUAGAUAUCGAGAGGAACACCUGCGGCGAAGGCGGGUUGCUGGGCUGACACUGACGCUGAUGUGCGAAAGCUAGGGGAGCGAACGGG
rnacentral:rRNA from 1 species